rnacentral:rRNA from 1 species
AAUCUUCCACAAAGGGCGAAAGCCUGAUGGAGCAACGCCGCGUGAGUGAAGAAGGUUUUCGGAUCGUAAAACUCUGUUGUAAGGGAAGAACAAGUACAGUAGUAACUGGCUGUACCUUGACGGUACCUUAUUAGAAAGACACGGCUAACUACGUGCCAGCCGCCGGGGUAAUACGUAGAUGGCAAGCGUUGACCGGAAUUAGGGGGCGUAAAGCGCGCGCAGGCGGUCCUUUAAGUCUGAUGUGAAAGCCCACGGCUCAACCGGGGAGGGUCAUUGGAAACUGGGGGACUUGAGUGCAGAAGAGGAAAGUGGAAUUCCAAGUGUAGCGGUGAAAUGCGUAGAGAUUUGGAGGAACACCAGUGGCGAAGGCGACUUUCUGGUCUGUAACUGACGCUGAGGCGCGAAAGCGUGGGGAGCAAACA